rnacentral:rRNA from 1 species
GAUGAACGCUGGCGGCGUGCCUAAUACAUGCAAGUCGAGCGAACAGACGAGGAGCUUGCUCCUUUGACGUUAGCGGCGGACGGGUGAGUAACACGUAGGUAACCUACCUAUAAGACUGGGAUAACUUCGGGAAACCGGAGCUAAUACCGGAUAAUAUAUCGAACCGCAUGGUUCGAUAGUGAAAGAUGGCUUUGCUGUCACUUAUAGAUGGACCUGCGCCGCAUUAGCUAGUUGGUAAGGUAACGGCUUACCAAGGCAACGAUACGUAGCCGACCUGAGAGGGUGAUCGGCCACACUGGAACUGAGACACGGUCCAGACUCCUACGGGAGGCAGCAGUAGGGAAUCUUCCGCAAUGGGCGAAAGCCUGACGGAGCAACGCCGCGUGAGUGAUGAAGGUCUUCGGAUCGUAAAACUCUGUUAUUAGGGAAGAACAAACGUGUAAGUAACUGUGCACGUCUUGACGGUACCUAAUCAGAAAGCCACGGCUAACUACGUG